ACGGGUGAGUAACACGUGGGUAACCUGCCUCAUAGAGGGGAAUAGCCUUCCGAAAGGAAGAUUAAUACCGCAUAAGAUUGUAGUGCCGCAUGGCAUAGCAAUUAAAGGAGUAAUCCGCUAUGAGAUGGACCCGCGUCGCAUUAGCUAGUUGGUGAGGUAACGGCUCACCAAGGCGACGAUGCGUAGCCGACCUGAGAGGGUGAUCGGCCACAUUGGGACUGAGACACGGCCCAGACUCCUACGGGAGGCAGCAGUGGGGAAUAUUGCACAAUGGGGGAAACCCUGAUGCAGCAACGCCGCGUGAGUGAUGACGGUCUUCGGAUUGUAAAGCUCUGUCUUCAGGGACGAUAAUGACGGUACCUGAGGAGGAAGCCACGGCUAACUACGUGCCAGCAGCCGCGGUAAUACGUAGGUGGCAAGCGUUGUCCGGAUUUACUGGGCGUAAAGGGAGCGUAGGUGGACAUUUAAGUGGGAUGUGAAAUACUCGGGCUUAACCUGGGUGCUGCAUUCCAAACUGGAUAUCUAGAGUGCAGGAGAGGAAAGUAGAAUUCCUAGU
rnacentral:rRNA from 1 species